AGAGGCGGGGCGAGCGCGCGCGGGGCGGAAGUCGGCCGCCUUCCUCCGUCCCGGCCCUUAGCCCAGCCAAGCCCAGCCAAGCCCCGCCGAUCGCGGGCACCGGAGCCAGCCCCGCAGCGGGAAGCUGGAGAAACAAACCCUCUUGGCUGUCUGCUGUCCAAGGAGUCGCCACUCCCUUCAUUACAGCCUUGCGCAGAGUGUAGCGGCAGGCCUGGGGAUGGCCUCGGGAGAAAAGCACAUCUCCCAGGAUCCUGAGAGCUUGAACCAGACCACUGUGGACACGGUGGCCACCGGUCACCACUACCCUUCCCAAGGGGAGACGAGGAGCAAGUAGGCUUGAGGGAAAAGCUGCACAGGACUCGUGUCUUGAAAUGUCUAAGACGCAUGUCAGAAAUGCAGGAGCCUAACCCAGAGGAAGUGGAGACUCCUUUACUGCACAUCUGUCUGCUCCAGGCCAGGCACUGUUCUAGGAGCCAGGAUACAGAGGUGGAGACAGAAACAAACAAACCGAUAACUGUAUACAAUACUCUAACGUCAG
rnacentral:sRNA from 1 species